GGAAUAUUGGACAAUGGGGGAAACCCUGAUCCAGCCAUGCCGCGUGUGUGAAGAAGGCCUUUUGGUUGUAAAGCACUUUAAGCAGUGAAGAAGACUCCGUGGUUAAUACCCACGGACGAUGACAUUAGCUGCAGAAUAAGCACCGGCUAACUCUGUGCCAGCAGCCGCGGUAAUACAGAGGGUGCAAGCGUUAAUCGGAAUUACUGGGCGUAAAGGGAGCGUAGGUGGCUCGAUAAGUCAGAUGUGAAAUCCCCGGGCUCAACCUGGGAACUGCAUCUGAUACUGUUGAGCUAGAGUAUGUGAGAGGAAGGUAGAAUUCCAGGUGUAGCGGUGAAAUGCGUAGAGAUCUGGAGGAAUACCGAUGGCGAAGGCAGCCUUCUGGCAUAAUACUGACACUGAGGCUCGAAAGCGUGGGUAGCAAACAGGAUUAGAUACCCUUG
rnacentral:rRNA from 1 species